CUAUUAAAUGCCUAACUACAGGAUAAAUACCUCAACAGGAUCUUCUGAGACAGACAACCAGCUGGAACUGUGCCGAGGACAGGAGCGUGACCUGAGCCAGAAGCCCAGCCAAUGAAAACAAGAAGCGGCAGCCAGCUCCCCGAAAAGAAGGGGACCCCCAGCAGGCCUGCUCCCCCAGCACCACAGCUCCUGCCAUUAGAGAGGGGUGUCAGGACGCCCCCCAGGCCACUGUGGUGCCCAGAGCUCUCAGGGCUAAGACCUGUAGCUGCCCUCCCCAUCUCUAUCUUCCUCUUCACAACCGAGCUCUUGAAGGAGCUGUUCACACUCAUUUUUCCAUUUCCUCCGUGCCAGGCAGCUGUUCCUACAUCUGGCACUGUCGCCAGGCCCCUGAUCACCCAAGGCCGCCACAGCGCCCUUCGUGACCUCCUUCUCCUGGACAGGGUUAGGGGUACGCAGACUUCCAGGCUGGCUCCUCCUCCUCCUCCCCCACUUCAGUGGUGGGGCCUUUACAACACGUGUCCCAUCCCAGUCCACACCACUCAGGCCCUCACCCACCACAGGCCCAGACCCUUUUCCCACUUUUAAAUCACCGGCUCAUAGUCCUACAUACAAACACAGUCCCAAGGAGUGAGGGGUCAGAUUCAGAAACCCAAAGACCUGGAAUUCUGGGAGAUCACCAUCCUGUGUGCAUCCGAGGCUGGCCCACAGGGUCUCUGACCAUCCCACCUCCCAGAGAGAACAAGUAGCAGUUUGUCACAUACUCGUCCAGGUUUCUGGAAGUGCACAGAUCAGAUCUGUGAUGGAGCCAGGCUUCCUGGGUCGUGUCUGUGAAAUAAUAGGAAAUAUACAUACUGGUCUCUGCCUCUGGGUCCCUGACACAGAACUCCUAAAACCCCGGAAUUUCCUGGAUGAAAGGAACAUCUUUUGUUCUAAUGAGGCGAUUCUGGGUGGGCUCCUGGAUGGCUCCUGGAUGGGGGCUGGUCACCAGACCGCGCUGGGAUUAGGAGGUUGGACCUUUCAGCCCAGCCCCCAUCCUCUGGCGAAGGGAGAGGAGCCGGAGCCAGAGUUGAUGAUGGAUCACACCUGCAUGAGGGAGCCUCCCCAAAAAUCCCUAAAGUAUGGGUUCAGAGAGCUUCUGGUUGGUGAACACUUCCAUGUGAGGGUGGCGCACCCCAGCUCCACGGGGACAGAAGCUCCUGCGCUUGGGACCCUUCCGGAUCUCGCCCUAUGUAUCUCUUCAUCUAGCUGUUCAUUCAUAUCCUUUAACAUCCUUUGUGAUGAGCUGGUAAUCUGGUGAGUAAACUGUUUUCCUGAGUCCCAUGAGCCGUUCUAACAAAUUAUCAAAUUCGAGGAGGGGUUUAUGGGAACCCCAAUUUAUA
rnacentral:lncRNA from 1 species